UACGGAGGGAGCUAGCGUUGUUCGGAAUUACUGGGCGUAAAGCGCACGUAGGCGGCUUUGCAAGUUAGAGGUGAAAGCCUGGGGCUCAACUCCAGAACUGCCUUUAAAACUGCAUCGCUUGAAUCCAGGAGAGGUGAGUGGAAUUCCGAGUGUAGAGGUGAAAUUCGUAGAUAUUCGGAAGAACACCAGUGGCGAAGGCGGCUCACUGGACUGGUAUUGACGCUGAGGCGCGAAAGCGUGGGGAGCAAACAGG
rnacentral:rRNA from 1 species